AGCACAAUCGCCUGGUGGAGAACCCCCUCACACCCCUAUCAUCCAAUAAAUAGAAAACAUGAUUAGGCGAAGUUCAACUCCCGAUGUUUUGCAAACAUCUCUCAGUAUAUAUCAAUUCAAAAGUGCCCUUUAACAAAAAUCUGCCCCCCUUGCCUUCACAUUGUUCCGGCGUCCCUGUGUAUAUAAUUAUAAUAAAUUCUCCCAAGCCCCCCCCCCCAGCCACGAAUAGGCCUCUGACUACAUACAGUAUGCGUUAUUAACCCUUUAAGUGGCAAUGCACUCUGAUGCACCCUAAUUCAGAAUUUUACUCUGUCUAAUGCCAGACAAGCAUACUGAAGCAUUCUUUCUCACGUCAUUGAUUUUUGUAAUGGGUCACUCCAGAAAACAUCCAUACCACCCCCACAGAGGAAAUAGGAAGCUAACCCCCCUACCCCCUUCGUAUGAUCCGUUCCCUGAUCAACUCAAGGCAGCACAUUUUAUUUUAAGGAGAAGGUUCUUUUAAUAUGUUCCAGGUAGGAAAACAGUAGAAAAGUUUGGUGAUCCCAAAAAGGCAUCAAUUUCCACUAACAAUGUUGAUUCUUAUGCAAGUUGGAAAAGGAAAGUUCUGGCCACUUUCAACCGAAAAUAGUGUAUGGAAUAAUGAAUGAAUUAGAUGUUAAUGAGUCUGAUGAUGAAAAUAUUGGAAGUGAAUCAGAUUAAAAGACAAAACCUUUACUGUACACACAUCCCACUCGUAUUUCAAUGUAGCAAUAAUUUUUUACAGUUGUGAAGGGUUGUUUUGUGGUAAAUCAUGGAUAAUAAAAUAAAUUUAUUUUAUUAUCCGUGGUUAAAUAGAGCAUGUACAUGUAAUUUAACUUGAAUUAAUCUGCUAUGACUAUGUAUGGACUCUCCAU